rnacentral:lncRNA from 1 species
UGUUACUUCAAACAAUAAAUUGAGAAAUGGAGGGACGUAAGAUCUUGUGUAUCGUCUUUUUACUUCAAACACUAAUGUGUCUCACCUGUGCUAGGUCAUUGACCAGUCUCCGAGUAGGGGUUGGUAUAGGGCAAGGAGGUGAUGGUAGUUAUGGUGGUGGAGGAAAAGGAAGUGGUUCAGGCUCUGGAUAUGGUGAGGGAUCUGGACAUGGUGGUGGCUCAGGAGGUGGAGGUGGCUCAGGAGGUGGAGGUGGAGGUGGUUCUGGUGGAGGAAAAGGGAGUGGUAAAGUGGAGGUGGUUCUGGUGGAGGAAAAGGGAGUGGGAAAGGAUCUGGAUAUGGUGGUGGCUCUGGACAUGGUGGUGGCUCAGGAGGUGGUGGUUCUGGUGGGGGAUCAGGUGGUGGAGGUGGUUCUGGUGGAGGAAAAGAAAGUGGAUCAGGCUCUGGAUAUGGUGGUGGCUCAGGAAAAGGCAGUGGCUCAGGACAUGGUGGUGGCUUGGCAACUGGUGGUGGUUCUGGUGGGGGAUCAGGUGGUGGAGGUGGUUCUGGUGAAGGUGGUAGCUCAGGAUAUGGUGGUGGCUCAGGAGGUGGAGGUGGUGGUGGUUCUGGUGGAGGAAAAGGGAGUGGUAAAGGAUCUGGAUAUGGUGGUGGCUCAGGACAUGGAGGUGGCUCAGGACAUGGUGGUGGCUCAGGAGGUGGAGGUGGCUCAGGAGGUGGAGGUGGUUCUGGUGGAGGAAAAGGGAGUGGGAAAGGAUCUGGACAUGGUGGUGGCUCUGGACAUGGUGGUGGCUCAGGACAUGGAGGUGGCUCAGAACAAGGUGGUGGCUCAGGAGGUGGAGGUGGUUCUGGUGGAGGAAAAGGGAGUGGGAAAGGAUCUGGAUAUGGUGGUGGCUCUGGACAUGGUGGUGGCUCAGGAGGUGGUGGUUCUGGUGGGGGAUCAGGUGGUGGAGGUGGUUCUGGUGGAGGAAAAGAAAGUGGAUCAGGCUCUGGAUAUGGUGGUGGCUCAGGAAAAGGCAGUGGCUCAGGACAUGGUGGUGGCUUGGCAACUGGUGGUGGUUCUGGUGGGGGAUCAGGUGGUGGAGGUGGUUCUGGUGAAGGAAAAGGAAGUGGCUCAGGAUCUGGAUAUGGUGGUGGCUCGGGAAAAGGUGGUAGCUCAGGACAUGGUGGUGGCUCAGGAGGUGGAGGUGGUGGUGGUUCUGGUGGAGGAAAAGGGAGUGGUAAAGGAUCUGGAUAUGGUGGUGGCUCAGGACAUGGUGGUGGCUCAGGAGGUGGAGGUGGUUCUGGUGGAGGAAAAGGGAGUGGGAAAGGAUCUGGAUAUGGUGGUGGCUCUGGACAUGGUGGUGGCUCAGGACAUGGAGGUGGCUCAGGACAAGGUGGUGGCUCAGGAGGUGGAGGUGGUUCUGGUGGAGGAAAAGGGAGUGGGAAAGGAUCUGGAUCUGGUGGAGGAAAAGGGAGUGGGAAAGGAUCUGGAUAUGGUGGUGGCUCUGGACAUGGUGGUGGCUCAGGACAUGGAGGUGGCUCAGGACAAGGUGGUGGCUCAGGAGGUGGAGGUGGUUCUGGUGGAGGAAAAGGAAGUGAGAAAGGAUCUGGAUAUGGUGGUGGCUCAGGACAAGGUGGUGGCUCUGGUCAUGGUGGUGGCUCAGGAGAUGGAGGUGGUUCUGGUGGAGGAAAAGGGAGUGGGUCAGGAUCUGGAUAUGGUGGUGGCUCGGGACAAGGUGGUGGCUCAGGACAUGGUGGUGGCUCUGG